rnacentral:rRNA from 1 species
UUUUGCCUACGGGAGGCAGCAGUCGAGAAUCAUUCACAAUGGCGAAAGCCUGAUGGAGCAACGCCGCGUGGGUGAAGAAGGUCUUCGGAUCGUAAAACCCUGUUGUUAGAGAAGAAAGUGCGUGAGAGUAACUGUUCACGUUUCGACGGUAUCUAACCAGAAAGCCACGGCUAACUACGUGCCAGCAGCCGCGGUAAUACGUAGGUGGCAAGCGUUAUCCGGAUUUAUUGGGCGUAAAGGGAACGCAGGCGGUCUUUUAAGUCUGAUGUGAAAGCCUUCGGCUUAACCGGAGUAGUGCAUUGGAA